UUAAACACUGCCUACAUACUGUAUGUGUUUUGCACCCGAUACAGAUGUGGGGGUCGUUUGCAA
rnacentral:pre_miRNA from 1 species